CGCCACUCGACUUUGGGAUGCCGCCGCCGCCACCAGAAUACCCUGGUCCUCCGCCUCCCAGCCCACCGCCACCAGGGUUUCCGCAUCCUGCACCUCCCGGACCUCCUCCUCCUCCACCAGGGUUCCCUCAUCCUCCGCCUCAUGGACCGCCGCCACCAGGCUAUCAAGACUACUUUUAUCCACCACCACCACCGCCGCCGUCAACCUUACCCCCGCCCCAACCCCCUGCACGGGAGGACGAUGACUGCCUUUCAUGCUUCAGAG
rnacentral:lncRNA from 1 species